rnacentral:misc_RNA from 1 species
CACCACUCCAGCCUCGCUGGGUAUUGGGCGUCUUCGCGCGGGAGCAAUCCCCCGCGCGCCUCAAAGUCUCCGGCUGAGCGGUUCCGUCUUCGCAGCGUUGUGGCAUCACGUCUCGCUCUGAAGUCGGUCCCCCACGGCCGUUAAAUCACUUUAACA